GUGUACUAGCCUAUUAAUUGUGGUGGUCCCAUAUCUUUUUGCUCACUCCAUCUCCUCCCGCCAGUUCUUCUCUCCCUCUUUCUUUCUCAUUCUCUCUCAAAAUCAUACUCAAUCUCUUUUCUCGGAGACGAACAAUGGUUGUUGCACAGAAACUCAAGGAAGCGGAGAUCACCGAGCUUGAUUCGCUUCUCUUAACAAGAAACCUGCUACGCAUUGCCAUAUUCAAUAUUAGCUAUAUAAGAGGACUUUUUCCUGAGAACUAUUUCAAUGACAAAUCGGUUCCAGCUCUAGAGAUGAAGAUUAAGAAGCUUAUGCCAAUGGAUGCAGAGUCGAGAAGACUGAUUGAUUGGAUGGAGAAAGGUGUCUAUGAUGCACUGCAGAAGAAAUACCUGAAAACGCUUCUGUUCUGUGUGUGUGAAACAAUAGAUGGUCCGAUGAUUGAGGAAUAUGCCUUUUCUUUCAGUUAUUCAAACUCUGAAAGUCAAGAGGUCUCGAUGAACGUAAAUCGCAUUGGGAAUAAAAAGCAAGGGGGAACAUUCAAGUGCAACUCGAGUACAGAAAUUACUCCAAAUCAGAUGAGGAGUUCUGCUUGCAAAAUGGUCCGUACAUUGAUUCAGUUAAUGAGAACUCUGGAUAAAAUGCCAGAAGAGCGGACUAUAUUGAUGAAACUCCUGUAUUAUGAUGAUGUUACGCCUGUGGACUAUGAGCCACCAUUCUUCAGAGGGUGCACAGAAGAAGAAGAAGUUAAUAAUCCAUGGACCAAGAAUCCUCUGAAAAUGGAGGUUGGCAAUGUCAACAGUAAACAUUUAGUAUUAGCUCUCAAGGUUAAAAGUGUACUUGAUCCUUGUGAGGAUGAGAAUGAUGAUAUGCAAAAUGAUGAUGUCAGCUUGGGGGGUGAUUCUGUCAAAGGAGAUGCAAGUGACUCUGAAACUGAGACCAUGGAUGAAGACCAGUAUGUGGUUGCACCAGUAGACAAAGAAAGGCUUCAGAGAAAUCAAACAGCAACUGAUGAUGAUGAUACUCAGGAUCCAAUAGAAGAUGAAGAGCAAUAUCGUCGAGUAAAGGAAUGGAUUAGUUCUUACCACCUUGGCACUGUCGAGCUUACUGAUGUUCUCUCAAAUUUCUCGGAUAUAUCAGUGGUGCUUAUUGAAGAAGUUAUGGACAAACUGGUGAAGGAGGACAUCUUAACUAAAAGCGGAACAAAUGCUUACAUUAUUAAUAAGCUGAAGAAAUCUGACUAUGAAUUUGAAGCUGUGAAAGAAGAAAAUGAUGGCCAGAUAUUUCGUAAUGGCAGUAAAGUUCAGCCAAACAUGGAUGAGGAUCAUAUGUACAUGAAGGCACUUUACCAUGCUCUUCCAAUGGACUACAUUACUGUUUCCAAGCUUCACAACAAGCUCGAAGGAGAAGUCAACCAGACCACAGUGCGUAAGCUAAUUGAUAAGAUGACAAAAGAAGGGUUUGUUGAAGCUCAAAGCAAUAGGAGACUUGGCAAGCGUGUGAUCCAUUCCAAUUUAACUGAGAAAAAAUUGCAUGAAGUCAAGAAAAACUUGAACCUUAAUGAGAUGGAGCUGGAUGAGCCCCAAAGGAAGCUGAACCACUCAGAACCUAAUACAAUUGGAAGCAAACAAAGGGACUUGUCCACUUGUGGCGGAGUUCGCUCCAUUGGAUCAGAUCUAACUCGCAUGAUAGGCAAAUCUGAUGCUUAUCAGAACGGAUCCAUCAGGAGUGACCAUACUGUUGUAAAGAUGAAAGAGCAUGGAACCCCUACAAGCAGAGCUCAGGUUUGUCUGGUCAACAACUGCCUUACAUUUACCAACCAGCAGCUUCUAGAGAGAGUUUUGCACAAGUAAUGGAAAUUGGCAGAAACAAUGGAAACCAUGACAAUUGCAGUGAGUUUGAUGCAAUCAUGUGCAGCAAGUCUUCAUCUCAGAGCAAGCGGUCCAGAAAAGCAAGCGCUGUUAAGGAUCCUAUCCUUCAGUACACUAAGCGCCAGAAGGCUCAAGUCGCCUGAAAAGAAUCAGACUCAAUGGCCUGAUAAUUUCCAGAGUUUCUUUCCAUUUAUUCCUAUUUCAUCAGACAGCACUUGAAUCAGCUUUCUUCCUUUCUUUGUUGAACCUGGUGAUUCUUAACUGGAUAUGUAAUAGAUAUGAUUAUUAUGCUUAUUAUGUUAACAUUUCAGACUUGUGAUAACACUCCCCAUAUUUUGUUUGGAGUCCAAGUACGAUGAUAAAUGGCAACCAAAGGAGACCUGUUUUGUUCGUUUA